GUUAUACAGGGAGGAGAAAAAUGUAGCCAUGAUCUUCUAGAAACUCGGCAAUUGGAAUGAAAAAGGAGCAUGAAGAGAUACAACUUCGGAGAGAAAAUGACCUGUAAUGGCAUAGCAACUUAUUUCUCUAUCUCUCCCUGCAAUUGGCUGGGGAAAAAAUCCGAUUCCUGGAGGAUAUGCUAUAAUCUACUUUUAUUUAUCUGGCCAUUUCCGGCAAGUUCUCAUCCCCAGUGAGAAUAUUUCUUCAAAGGAUUCUGUUCAAGGUGACUUUGCCAUGGAUGCACUGGGCUUGAUGCUGGAAUCACAAUCUGGUUAACACGUUCCACAGCAGCUGCUUGUCUCUUCCCUCUUGAAGCCUGAAAUGCUUUGGAAACGGCCAAGGAUGAAGUAUCAGUCUAAAGCAUCUUUUUUUUAAAAAAAAAUUUUUUUGGUUAAAACACUUGACCUUCAAAUUCAA